CCUACGGGUGGCAGCAGUGAGGAAUAUUGGUCAAUGGACGAGAGUCUGAACCAGCCAAGUAGCGUGAAGGAUGACUGCCCUAUGGGUUGUAAACUUCUUUUAUAUGGGAAUAAAACGUUCCACGUGUGGGAUUUUGUAUGUACCAUAUGAAUAAGGAUCGGCUAACUCCGUGCCAGCAGCAGCGGUAAUACGGAGGAUCCGAGCGGUAUCCGGAUUUAUUGGGUUUAAGGGGAGCGUAGGUGGAUUGUUAAGUCAGUUGUGAAAGUUUGCGGCUCAACCGUAAAAUUGCAGUUGAAACUGGCAGUCUUGAGUACAGUAGAGGUGGGCGGAAUUCGUGGUGUAGCGGUGAAAUGCUUAGAUAUCACGAAGAACUCCGAUUGCGAAGGCAGUUCACUGGACUGCAACUGACACUGAGGCUCGAAAGUGUGGGUAUCAAACAGGAUUAGAUACCCUAGUAGUC
rnacentral:rRNA from 1 species